AAUUUCAGCUGAAAAAGUCAUGAACAUAAAAGUUGUAGAGCUCAUCAAGACAUACAACUUUUAUUUUGGCCAUUUCUUCAUCCAAUAAAGUGAUAGUAACAUUGUUCACAAAGUUUACAUAUCUCUCUUAUAGUUUAUAGAACCAGGUGAGACAGAUGUAAAUUUUAUAAACAAUGUUACUAUCACUUUGUCGGAUGAAGAAACGACCAAGAUAAAAGUUAUAGAUCUUGAUGAGUUAUACAACUUCGUUGUUGAUGACUUUUUCAAUUGAAAUC
rnacentral:pre_miRNA from 1 species